CACAAAAUACUUGUAAUCUUAACCUAAAUCCAUAAUAAACAAAAACAUAUAUGUAUAUCCAAGGCUCUAUUUUGAAAUUGUAGCCAUCUUACACACACACACACUUAUCUAAUUUGAGAAAUUUAGUUAAUUUAUUAAAGAAAAUCUUAAUGAAUGUUUUAUUUUUACAGUAAAUUUCUAUAAGCACAAGCUUUUAGUUAAUUGUGUACUGUUUUAUUUGGCAACUCUCAUCAAAGAACCAAACAAUCUUCAUCCUUUGUUUUAAAUACAAUCUAUAUUCAUAAAGAUCGGUUGUGGGCAGUCUUAUGCUCAAAGUUUAUUUACUUUGUUAUUAUGGUAUAAUCCUUUUGCUUUAGUAGCGUACGUUAACUACUUUCUAAAUUUAAAACAACUAUUUUUGUAAAUUCAACCAUUGAUCAUAAUCUUGAAAACAACCCGAAUGAUCAACGUUCUUGAUAUUGAUUAUAAUAUCCAUAUUAAAUUGAAAAAACACAAAAUAGCUUUAUAUUAAAUGAAUUAAAAUGCAAAUUCGAGCUCUAAGUUCCCUCCCAUGUUAAAAUUGAAGAUGGUGGGAUUAUUAAUUAUCUAUAAAUAGCGUGUAUGUGCUAGAAAACUAUUCUUUUUAUUAGCAUUUAACCCAUUUAGAGUCUUUGAAAAUUUUAGUUGCAAGUUAAUCUCAAGGUUAAAUUCUAUAAACAAAUUAGAAGAUUUCGAAAGUGUAAUGCCUGAUAUGGUAUACUAAUGACUUAUGAAAAAUUUAGAUAAGAUAUAAUAUUUCAUAAACCUAUUUAUACUAAGAAAUUUAGUCUAAAUAAUAAAGAUAAUAAGUCCAACUCUAUUUUUCACUUGUUAAACCAAUAAUUGGUCAAUUUUUGGUCUUAGAUUAAUUCCAUACUCAUGGAAAAGGUAGUGAAUGACUGAUGUGAAGUGUCACCAAUGUGGUGUCAAGAAAUUGUUCUUUGCUUUAAAAAUAUAGUGUCCAGAAAUGAAAGUGGGGCGCUUGCUAAUUGAACACAUGCCCCAUGGUUCUCCAAAUGCUGAAAUGCAUCUUCAAGUGUAUAUCAGGGCAGUUUUCUUGGGUCACAAGCUAAAUACUAAGCCAACUAGCUAUUUAUUCACGUCAAGGAGUAUUUGGUCAUGGUUUCUUGUAUCUAUUAAUCAUUGUUUUAAAAACCUAACUCGCUCGAUAGAUUAAUCAUAAAUGGGUUUAGGUUAAAGAAAAAAAUAAUUUAAUUGAUUUAAUUAAAAAUCUGGGUUUAUCCAAUCAAAACAUGAUUAUCAAUUUAUUAUUU